CCCGGUGAUCUAGCCAUGGGCAGGUUGAAGGUUGGGUAACACUAACUGGAGGACCGAACCGACUAAUGUUGAAAAAUUAGCGGAUGACCUGUGGCUGGGGGUGAAAGGCCAAUCAAACCGGGAGAUAGCUGGUUCUCCCCGAAAGCUAUUUAGGUAGCGCCUCGUGAACUCAUCUCCGGGGGUAGAGCACUGUUUCGGCUAGGGGGCCAUCCCGGCUUACCAACCCGAUGCAAACUGCGAAUACCGGAGAAUGUUAUCACGGGAGACACACGGCGGGUGCUAACGUCCGUCGUGAAGAGGGAAACAACCCAGACCGCCAGCUAAGGUCCCAAAGUCAUGGUUAAGUGGGAAACGAUGUGGGAAGGCCCAGACAGCCAGGAUGUUGGCUUAGAAGCAGCCAUCAUUUAAAGAAAGCGUAAUAGCUCACUGGUCGAGUCGGCCUGCGCGGAAGAUGUAACGGGGCUAAACCAUGCACCGAAGCUGCGGCAGCGACGCUUAUGCGUUGUUGGGUAGGGGAGCGUUCUGUAAGCCUGCGAAGGUGUGCUGUGAGGCAUGCUGGAGGUAUCAGAAGUGCGAAUGCUGACAUAAGUAACGAUAAAGCGGGUGAAAAGCCCGCUCGCCGGAAGACCAAGGGUUCCUGUCCAACGUUAAUCGGGGCAGGGUGAGUCGACCCCUAAGGCGAGGCCGAAAGGCGUAGUCGAUGGGAAACAGGUUAAUAUUCCUGUACUUGGUGUUACUGCGAAGGGGGGACGGAGAAGGCUAUGUCGGCCGGGCGACGGUUGUCCCGGUUUAAGCGUGUAGGCUGACUUUCCAGGCAAAUCCGGAAAGUUAAGGCUGAGGCGUGAUGACGAGGCACUACGGUGCUGAAGUGACAAAUGCCCUGCUUCCAGGAAAAGCCUCUAAGCAUCAGGUAACAUCAAAUCGUACCCCAAACCGACACAGGUGGUCAGGUAGAGAAUACCAAGGCGCUUGAGAGAACUCGGGUGAAGGAACUAGGCAAAAUGGUGCCGUAACUUCGGGAGAAGGCACGCUGACAUGUAGGUGAAGCCCCUGCGGGUGGAGCUGAAGUCAGUCGAAGAUACCAGCUGGCUGCAACUGUUUAUUAAAAACACAGCACUGUGCAAACACGAAAGUGGACGUAUACGGUGUGACGCCUGCCCGGUGCCGGAAGGUUAAUUGAUGGGGUUAUCGCAAGAGAAGCUCCUGAUCGAAGCCCCGGUAAACGGCGGCCGUAACUAUAACGGUCCUAAGGUAGCGAAAUUCCUUGUCGGGUAAGUUCCGACCUGCACGAAUGGCGUAAUGAUGGCCAGGCUGUCUCCACCCGAGACUCAGUGAAAUUGAACUCGCUGUGAAGAUGCAGUGUACCCGCGGCAAGACGGAAAGACCCCGUGAACCUUUACUACAGCUUGACACUGAACAUUGAGCCUUGAUGUGUAGGAUAGGUGGGAGGCUUUGAAGCGUGGACGCCAGUCUGCGUGGAGCCGACCUUGAAAUACCACCCUUUAAUGUUUGAUGUUCUAACCUGGCGCCGUGAUCCGGCGUGGGGACAGUGUCUGGUGGGUAGUUUGACUGGGGCGGUCUCCUCCCAAAGUGUAACGGAGGAGCACGAAGGUCAGCUAAUCCUGGUCGGACAUCAGGAGGUUAGUGCAAUGGCAUAAGCUGGCUUGACUGCGAGAGUGACGGCUCGAGCAGGUGCGAAAGCAGGUCAUAGUGAUCCGGUGGUUCUGUAUGGAAGGGCCAUCGCUCAACGGAUAAAAGGUACUCCGGGGAUAACAGGCUGAUACCGCCCAAGAGUUCAUAUCGACGGCGGUGUUUGGCACCUCGAUGUCGGCUCAUCACAUCCUGGGGCUGAAGUAGGUCCCAAGGGUAUGGCUGUUCGCCAUUUAAAGUGGUACGCGAGCUGGGUUUAGAACGUCGUGAGACAGUUCGGUCCCUAUCUGCCGUGGGCGCUGGAGAAUUGAGGGGGGCUGCUCCCAGUACGAGAGGACCGGAGUGGACGCAUCACUGGUGUUCGGGUUGUCAUGCCAAUGGCACUGCCCGGUAGCUAAAUGCGGAAGAGAUAAGUGCUGAAAGCAUCUAAGCACGAAACUUGCCCCGAGAUGAGUUCUCCCUGAGACUAUAAGUCUCCUGAAGGAACGUUGAAGACGACGACGUUGAUAGGCCGGGUGUGUAAGCGCAGCGAUGCGUUGAGCUAACCGGUACUAAUGAACCGUGAGGCUUAACCUU
rnacentral:rRNA from 1 species